rnacentral:lncRNA from 1 species
GCUUUUUUGUUUUGUUUUGUUUUUGGUUUCAGGGAUCGAACUUGGGGCCAUGCACUUGUGAAGUAGGUGGCGGCACAAAUGAGUUAAAUCCCUGGCCCUGAAAUUCCAUCAUUUUGAACAUCCAAGUCCAAGAACAUAGUCUGUGAGUGGGAGGACGAUUGGCAUUCUUUCUCUUACAGACACCCCGUGAGGAGCACCAGGAAAACAAGCCAAAUCUGGAAGCCCAGGAAGGCAGAGCUUACUGCAUGCAGAGCAGGAAAAGUUAAAAUAAUAAGUAAAGAAGCUGCAAGAGCACAGAAAUUAACUGGGAAGAAUUGAGCUGCUCUUAAGAAAUGAACCAAUUUAUACAGUCAACAUGAAUGGAGCAAAAGGCUUUCUUUUUUCUCUAAUGGCGGCGUGACCACGGAGAAUGAGACUGACAGGAGCUGCCCGGGUCUGGAGGAGGCUAAAGCUGAGUUUAAGCUGGAAACUAAAACACUAGACUGUUUUUCGGUACAACUUGCCCGGUUCCUCUCCACUCCCUUUAGUUUCACUCCAUGGACAGAUCAACGGACCUGGACAUCGAGGAGCUCAAGGUUCUGACAGUAAUAAACAAUCCUGCAUCCUGGUUCACCAGUCU